rnacentral:lncRNA from 1 species
AUCCACCCCCUAUAUAUUUAUUCUCCUAGGCCAGAGAUUCAGAUAUCUGAAUUCACUAUCAUUUGAUUUGUUAUUGGUAUUUGUUUUUCAAUCACAUUUUUUAAAUUUGUUGCAGGAUAUGCUUAUUUCUUGUGUUGGAGAUCUUACAUGUUCAAGAGGAGGAAAAUUUUGAGAUUUGUGCGUACCAUCUGAACUAAUUACAUCGUCGUAGAAGAAACUAGAUGAUUGUAUUUUGAUCUCGAUUCAUUAUUUUGACGUGUAUGUAGGGUAGACAAUCUCGACCUUUGCCAUGUUGGGUGCGCUCGCAUGGCAGGUCACCUAAUAAAGAAGAAUCACUUUUUUGGGUUGGGAGAGGAGAUCGCAUGGGAAUGGGGAUGAUUUUACUCCCUUUUUGAUAUUCCCAGGGUCAUCCUCUCCAAGGUCCGACCUCUGCAAGGCCGGACUCUGUGUUCUCUUUUCUGUUUGUCUUCUUUCAUUAUCUAUUAUCCUCCCUCCCAUGCAACUUCCCUCACCGACAUCAUCGAUUAAAGAUAAUAACUCGUUCGUGCCCUCUUAAUCGUUAAAAUCAACGAUCAGCGAAAUCAUUUAUAAUCAUAAAAACGAGGUAUAGAUUGAAUUUAAAUCAAUUACGCUUCUACGACGAUUAAUCAAUUAUCGUAAAAUGAAUCAAAUGAUUUGGUUGUUGAUCAAAGUAAUUAACGUUCAUUUCGAAAGCCGGUUUAUGAUUUUAAUUUCGCUUCACAUAUCUUCAUUUUUGGAUGAUUCUGAUUAUAUGAUGGAUGAUAUUGUUCGCGAUCGCGAAACGAAACUCCGUGAUAAUAAAGAGGGCAUGUUGAAUAUAUCUGCUCGAUUAUCUCAAACGUCAAUAAAGGAAAAUCAAUUGCUAAAAGUUAAUCGCGAUUUUAUAUCUUCUCUUUGUAAGUAUGUUUUAAUUAGUUAAAUUUAUCAUUUUUCUAUAUUUAAACAUGAAAUAAUAUAAUUUAUCAAUUUUAUACACAUGAUUGAUAAGAAAAGAUAGAAGAUUCGAUCAUGGCUAAGGUAUUUAUAUUAAGGCAUUGAAAGAAGUUUCGUGAAAUGAAAAGAUCGAUGAAGAAAUGCAUACUUUCAGUUAAGCCUAUUUGAUCCAACUAAUGUUAUUAGGUCAAUGGCAACCUUGUUAUUUUAUCCAACUUUGAAGGUAUUUAUUAAGUUGAUAUAAAAUAACAUAAGUACGGUUGUGGAAUUGAAACACGAACACAUCAAGAGCAACUAUGGAAGCUUGGGCUAGAAUGCUCCAACCGGCAUCAAAUUAAUAUUUUGUUUAUUAUUGUGUUAUAAUUUAAAUUCAGUAAGAACUUGUGUUAAAAGGGGAAUGUAAUACUUAGGCUAAGGGUGGGUCGGAAUUCAACUAAAAAUAGAAUUCUGACUCACAAAAGCAUCGGAAUGAUGGAAUGACCUAACAAGUCACAUCCACCGGACCCCCUAUCUCAUAUGAGGUAAGAUUCCUUGUGUAAGUAUAAACGAUAUGAGGAAUCACUUACAAAGUAGUGGACCGAAAGGUGAUGGCAGGGUUUUCCCUAGGAAAAGAAAAAGAUGUCAGUAGCACACUAGGGUUUUUUCACCCAACCAUUGUCCAAGGCCCACUACGUAAGAACGAUAAGGCAUAGAUCAUUCUAGGAAAUAUUGAGUCGAUCAGUCCCCAAAGAUUGUUGAAGGCCUAAACGAUCGUAAGAUCACUUGGCUGGAUCAAUGCGGAGGGUGUGAGGUAGAUCGCAUGUAAUCACACCUCUUUUUUUGCUUUGAGAUCUAUAUAUUGCAGGAUGAUUUUAACUCAAAAAAAAGGAAUUGAAGCAUGAAGAAGGGAGGAGGAAAGAAGAAAGGAGAGAAAAAAAGAGUUUUAUAUUUAUAGAUAUCAAUGUUGAUUGAUCAUAAAACAUUGUAUUAUUAUUUUUAUUAGUUAAUUUGUCUGCGUAGUUAACAAAAGUGAAUUCGUCAACAAAAGUGAGAAGUGGAUGAAAAUCGAUCCUCUGUAUUUAGGAUUACCACCUCAUCAAUAGAUUAAGACCAAAUUCGAUUUCAAUGUUACAACCUCAAACCUCGAACCAGUAACCUUUAAUAGUUAAUGAUGAAAGUGUUUUUGAAAUACUUUCAAUAGGUCUGUCAAUAGAUAUCCGAAAUUCGUGUUCGAAUUCAAAAUCGAAUUUAUUUAGGUUUAAUGAAAUUCAAAUACUUAAAAUACUAUCUAAAGUUAAAUGAAUUCAAAUACUCCUAAACGCAUUCGCAUAAUUAUCCAAAUUUGAAUAAGUAUAUAAAUAUAUAAUAAUUUUUACAUUUUCUAAUAUAAUGUAAUAUAUAUUGUGCUGGAUUUAUAUGUUUAAAGUAUUACAGAAGUUUUUAUUAAAAAAUAAGUAACAUAUUAUUUUUAGUAAAUGUUAUUCGAACCGAAUCCGGAUAUCCGUAUUCGGAUAUUUUAAUCGAAUUCGGAUAUUGAAUUUAAAAUUCGAAUAAUAAUCGGACGAAUUCGGAUUAUCUGGAUACUAAACGAAUUCAGAUACAAGGGUAUCCGAACUUAAUUCGUUCGAAUGACAGACGUGGACACGGAGACGACAUGGUCAGACGGAGACUGGGGAAAAUCACCGGGGGAGUGACAUCGCUUGGGGGGGGGUGUUUGUUUGGGAGAAGAAUAGAGAGAUAUAUUGGAGUAACUAAUAAAGUUAGUUACUGAUAGUUAGAUGGUUAAUGGAAGUUGUUAUUGUAUUGAAACUAGUAUAAAUAGAACUGUAAUUAAUGAUACAAUGAAAGUAAUUCAAUCAAGGGUGAAGGUAGUACGUACCAUCACUCCACGUUUUGUGAUCUCGAGUUCUUAUUCCGUUCAAUAAGAUGUCAGUGAGAGAGAGUGAGUGAGAUAUUUUUAGGCGAGAGUGAUAUAAGAAUAUAACUAGAAUACAGGGCAAAUAAGCAAUUUACCAUAAGAAACAAGCUUAAGACGUAAAGAAAUAUAAAUAACCCAAAGGUUAUGACAAAACAGAAUAAACUGUUUUGUUAUAAACUAACAGGGGUUCUUUUAUAAAUGUUUCAAUAAACGUUAUUUGAACCUAAGCGUAAUUAAAAGAAACUAAAGGUUUUCGUAAUAUAACUGAGAUCUAUAAAUACAAGGAUCGAAUUGUAAAAAUUUCAAUUACCAGUUAUAAUUAAUUUAAGGACUGUUAUGCAAAUAACACAAAACUAAAUCAGGUCAAAUAGACCUGAUUGAUAUUACUAAUAAGUUUGUAUACUUGUGCAGAAUUGUUACAGCUAAUCGGGUUUGGAUCGCACUCGGACUCGGAUCAAGUUCCAGCACAAAUAAAUUAGAAUUAAGAAAAUUAGUUACAUUUUUAGCUGUUAACAGUUUUGUAAUAUUUGUAUAAAUAAACGUGAUUAAGAAUUAAUAAUCACUCAAUGUUUUUACAAGUUAAUCAAUAAAGAAAAGAGAUUAACUAAAGAGAAACAUUUUUCUUUUCACCCCCUUUCUUCUUUCUUUCUUAUUUCACGUCCGGUAGUUAAUUCCGGUUCUCCCCAAAAUACGUUGGGCGGAAAACCCUAACUCCGAUCAGCCUCUCCAGUGGUUGAAAAGCUUCCAGACUCCGGGAAGAUCAUACAUUGCAGCAGGCGACGCCUCCAGUGCAAAAUUUAAUAAGUGACAGUUGUCACUAAUCUAAUGUAUGGUUUUUUUUAGACAUAAUAUUACACUUUGUGUCACAUUAAGUCACAAAUCAGAUUUUUUUUCACUCAUUACUAAGAUAAAUGGUCCACAAUCAUCCAUCAUUCCAUCUCACUCUCAAUUUAUUUUCAAAAAAUGGAUGGCUCAAUUUCAGAGAGAUUUUUAGCGUUUUUUCAUAAGACUUAUAGGAAAUUUAUUCUAUAAUAAAUAAAAAAGAAACUAGGGUUCAUGAACCUUUAUAGUUUAUACUCCUUUUUCCGAACCCACGUAAACCUCCUAUAAUUAGAAAGUCCCUCCUCCAUAUUAGAUUUAGGGUUACCAAAUAUACAGACCUGCGACUCUAUUCGUUCAUCGUUCUCACCGUCGUUGAGAUCCUUCGUUGAUUCGUACGAUCGAGAUUCUUCCCCACACAGGUUAGUCUCGCUCUCUUGAUCUACUACCUUCAUCGUCUCUUUCUCAAUUUCUUCUUGCCACAGAUCUUCUCGUGUUGUUAUCUCCUACAGUUUCUUUCGAUCGGGUGUCCUCAGUUAUCGCGUGCGUGGAUGUCUAUCUGCAAUGUAACAAUAGCCUGUGAAGUUGAAAAUUAGUUGAAUGAGUUUUUUGUUUUAGAAGAACUCCAAGUUUCUCUAUUGGAAAUCAUUUUUACUUCAUUUGAAAACAAGAAGAGAUGAUGUUAUAUUCAUGUGAGUUGUUUCAGUAGGAAUAAUGAAUGGAUCUCAUGAUUAUGAUUUUAAAUAUGUUGUGAUUGGUUGUAACACAAGAUUCAUCUAAUAAUCAAACAAACUUUUACUAAGAUUUUUACAGAUUUUUUUACAUAGAUUCAUCUACACAUUCCAAAUCCAUACACCAUAUAUAACUACUACUACUGCCAAAGGAUUAUUGCUAGCUCCCUGUUGAAAAAGAAAUCGUUGUCAUAAAAUAUUACCACUAACGUUAGAAUCCGAAGCAGAGACCAGUUAGGUAGAUGAUGCGACUGGGGACGAUGCUUACAAUGGAUGACGAUGACUGCUAGAUGUUUGAUAAAUGUGUUUCUUGUUCACUUAGUAAUGUCAUAAACUGUUUUUUCUUUGAUUAUUCUGUUACUAAACAUUUAGAAUUAAUAUUCAGUGAUGUUUUGGGGCCUAAUCUCUCCACACCUCAUCACAAGGUUUUAGAUAUUAUGUGAACUUUUUUGAUGUAUUCAUCGAAUUCAUUUGCAUUUUUCCAAUUCAAUGUAAGUCAGAGGUUUUUGUAAAAUUCAAUGAUUUUAAAAUAAAAGUUGAAAAUCAAUUAGAUCUCAAAAUUAAGACCUUACAAACUGAUAAUGGUGGAGUAAUAUUUUCCAAACUGAUGAAGCACUGAAUCUUCUACCAGGGCUCGCGGUGGUGCGAGGUGAUGCCGGAGGCUCUGGAGUCCACAACGCGCGCUCUACGUCAAAUACCUGCAAGUAGAAACUAGGCGAUUCUAGUGAGAAUCGGCGAGUUUCUUAGUGAUGCUCUGGUGAGAGUGGAACUUGUGUUGUGCCUUUGAGUGUCCCCUUGGGACCCUUUUUAUAGGGUCUCGGAGGGCGCGAUCAAAGGCGGAUAUCGCGCCUAUUGCCAUAGAUGGGAGCAUUUAUGGCGUUGGCUGGCGGCGAGUAACGGUCGUAAGUCGGUGAUUCAGGUAUGGAAAUCGCCUAUUUAGGGCAAACUCGCCGAGUUUCCAGGGGCGAGAUGUGCAGUCUACCAUACUGCCGAUCUGGGCCCUAACUCGGCGAUUUGUCCCUAAAGUCGGCGACUUGGUAGUCCAAUCGUGACUUACGGGUUAACUCUGCGAUUUGGACGAUGAACUUGUUCCGCACCGUGGGAGCUCUCCGGGGGUCCGGCGUAAAGCGACGGAACCCUAGUCCUUGUUGAAAGGCGUUGCUGGGAGUGACUGCCGUAAUCAGGCAUGUCUCACCACAAACUUUCUUAAAUAUCAAAUUAAAUUUUUUCAAAAUAUUGAUAUUUCGAACUACUAAAGUAGCGACAUCUUGGGAUGAAAAAAUAUGAAUAUUUUCAAUUUUUCUCAAAAUUAUAUCUGCACACAACACAUCAUUAGAAAUUGAAGAAACUAUUUGGGCUCUGCCAAGCCCAAAUAUGAAGAUUUCGCAGGUCCUAUGUUGUUGUUGAAUAAGCGAUCAUAGGAGUGAAAGUCGGAGAGCACACACGCGAUCGAUAUUUGGGCUUGACAGAGCUAAGAUUAAACAACAAUUAAUUUAUUAAUAUGUAGAGAAAAUGCGAGAUGAUAAAAUACAGUGUAUAAUCAACGAGAGAGAGCAGAGUAAAAGUUAGGAUUCCAGAGGAACGAAGAUAUAUACUCACGAGAGCGGCAGCGAGAGUAGAAAAAAAACUGCCAGAACAUCUAACAUAUAAACCCUAGAAAACAAUUUAUACCUAAGGUUUUUUGACCUAAUCUGUGAUUAAGAUAAUCAUAGGGAUAUAAGAGCAAUUAAGUAUAAAAUAAAUUUUAAUAUAUCGGAUUGGGCAUAUUGGACCCUUAACAAUAUAACAUAUCAUUAUAAGAAAUUAAAGAUUUCAACGUAUUAAAAUUUUCAAUUGUUUGAUUACUCGAACAUUCGUAAUUUUAUUCGAAUGAUUUUCGUUUUUUCUCCUUCCAAAAACCGAGUUAAUUUUCUAAUCCUAUUUAAUUAGUAGUUAUUAAAAAGGUUAUAAUAGUUUUUUUAACUUUGAUUUUUUCUUUAAUUUUUCCAUCAUUAAUGUAUAUGUAUAAUUUUCUCUUUUUUCGUCAAAUCAAAAAAUUUGAAUAUUUUAAAUUAAAAAAAAUGUUAACAUCUCUUGAAAUAUCAUAAAUGCAUUCACAUACAUUUUUCGAAAAAAAUUAAAUAUAUAUGAUUUUUUAUCAAAAAAUGUAAACGAUUUCGUAUCAAAAAUUGUACACGAUUUCGUAUAAAAAAUGUACACGAUUUCGUAUCAAAAAAUGUACACGAUUUCGUAUCAAAAAAUGCACACGAUUUUAUAUAAUAAAAUGUCCAUGAUUUGUAUUAUAAAAUGUACGUGAUUUUGUAUUUAAUUAAAAAUGUAUACAAAAUCGGAUUUCAUGGGUGAAAAUAUUCACCCGAACCCAAACCUGACAUGUUCAGGUUAAAUCUAAUCCAUGCCAACCCCUAGUUUUGAUCCAUUUUUUUUGAAAAAAUGACUUGGCGGUGUGAGAAAAUAUUAACCAGUUCCAAAUUUUUCCGAGGGCGACCUUAACCAGUUCCUAAUUUUUCUCCUUAUAGAAUCAACUGUGGACAUAUAUAAAAUCAAAAUAAGAUGAACAUAUAUAAAAUAUAUAUAAAAAAGUCAUUUGCCAUACAAAAGUUAUCUAUUUUUAUGAACUUAUAUCUAUUUUUUCGUUGUGUGAUUUGUCACCAUAUAUUCCAUAGACAAUUUCCAUAUUUAAGAAUCCACCCACCAUAUUUAUUCUCCUAGGCCGGAGAUUUAACCAAAUUCGCUAUCCUUUUACUUAUUCUCUGCAAACCUAACGACGUUAAAGUUUGAUUUGUUGUUGGCGUUUGAUUUUACAAUCACAUUUUUUUCUCUAUUUUUUUAAUUUUUUGCAGGACAUGUUCAUUUCUUAUGAUGAAGAUCUUACAUGUUCAAGAGGAGGAGAUCGAAUUUCGAGAUUUGUACGUACCUGUUGAUCUAAUUAAACCCUCAAAUUUCAUUGUCCCCGAAGAAACUAGAAAUGCGGAAUCUAGAAGAUUGUAUUUUGAUCUCGAUUCAUUAUUUUGACGUGUAUGUAGGGUAGACAAUCUCGACCUUUGCCAUGUUGGGUGCGCUCGCAUGGCAGGUCACCUAAUAAAGAGGAAUCACUUUUUUUGGGUUGGGAGAGGAGAUCGCAUGGGAAUUGGGAUGAUAUAUUAAUUUCCCCCUAUUUUGAUAUUCCCAGGAUCAUCCUCUCCAAGAUCGGGCUUUGUGUUCUGAUCUUUUCUCCAUGGAUUGUUUAUGUUCUUUCAUUAUCCAUUAUCCUUCCUCCCAUGCAACUCCCUCACCGACAUCAUCGAUCAAAGAUAAUAACCUGAACCCUAACCCAUAUCCUACGAACGAGGUAUACAUUGAAUUUAAACUAAUUACGUUCUAUGAAUAAUCCAAUCGUACAAAAUGAAACGAAUGACUUCCUAAUCUUCAAUUGAUCACCGUUCAAAUCGUCAAUCAAGGUAUAACGCUAAUAUGCUUUCCAUUUCGCUUCGAAUAUAUAUAGCUUCAUUUCUUAUAAUUCAAAAAAUAAUAUUGUGAGAUUUAUAUUUAAAGAUAAUUGUGUUACUCCAUAAGAAUAUUUAUUUAUUUAAUUAUUAGAAUUGUCUCUAGAUGAAUAAUUACUGUUUUUUUGGGAGAAAUAAAGAUAUUGUAUAUCAUAUAUAUAUAUAUAAUUAUAUAUAUAUACAUAGGGUCAGAUUCAGAUGAGAUAAGGGUUCAUGAGAUAUUAUGUGAUCAUGACCCCUCAAGUAAACAUUUUGAUUCACAGUUUGAUGUAAAUCUGAAGGCUGACAUGACAAAAUUUCAUGGACUAUUAUCUCAUCGAUCUAAUUUUUACCCCAUGCAUAUUUGAUGGAUGAUAUUGCUCGCGAUCGGGAAACAAAACUCUGGGGUGAUGAUAAAAAGGCCACGGGUAUGUUACAUUCGAAGGUGUAAAUGAAAAUAACUACUAUGGACUUCUGACUUAGGUAUAUACUUAUCUCCAAACAAUGUGAUUGAAAAAUUGACAAAGGAAUGCAAAAUAGAACAUUUAAUUUAAAAUAUCUUAAUUAACAUUAUUUUUGUAGAAUAAAGAAGAUGGUAAUCGAUAAAGUUUGAUUAUUGCAAGGUUUGCAAGGCUACCGAUAGUUCGACUAUAAUUAAAGGCCGUUGGUAUUGAAAUCAACCAUCCCAUACAUUUCUUGUACUUGGAGCAAGAGAUUGUACAUUAAUCAAUCCAAAAAAUUUGAAACCCUAAAGUGGCUAAACUGACGACUUUGCCUGACCCCAAGAGAUCGACGACAAGUAAUGUAAAAUUAGCCACGGAUUUAAUUAAAGGGUUUUGAAAAUUAGUUCUGGACACAAGUCUUAUUUCUUGUUGUGAUGGCAAAAAAUAUAUAAGAAAAAUUAGGGUUUUAAAAAAUUCUUGUUUAUUUAUUUUUUGAAAAAAUCAUAUACUUGAUAAGUGUUUUUUAUAUUCUUUUUUUGUUAAUAAAAAAAAUAUUCUAACUUAUUUUCUUUGCAUCCAUUUUGUAUUGAAAAUCACUACAAAAAAUAAGAUAUUGUGUAACAGAUUACUGACGAAUUAAUGAUGAUAGAUGAUGAAAAUCUCUUGUAUUCAGGACUAUCACCAAAAUACGAGUUCUAUCAUCAAUAGACCGUCAACAAAAGAGACUCCAUGAUUCUCACCUAAAAAGCAUAUUCGGAUUUCGUAAUCAAAAUCCAUCAUGAUGAUAUUUUUUCCACGAGUAGUAAAAAAAUUCCGAGUAUUUUGAAUUCUGAAUAUAAAUUUUUUUUAUAUAUGGUUUAUAACCAUUUUCAAAAUAUUGUAUCACUAUAAGAAAGAAAGUUAUUUAAAAUAAGGAUUGGUUUCUAGUGAGAAUGGUAAUAAAAUAAUGGGUGAGAAUGUAAAUCUCAUCCAUCCAUUCUUAUGGGUAUAUAUGUAUACUUUUAUAUAUUUGAAAGUAUGAGAGACCAACCUCCUGAGACCACGUAUUUAGUUACUGUAUAACUAGACUACAUAGCUAAUGAAAGAGAGUCAAUGAGUUUCUUACUCGUUCUUUUUAAUGAAAUUUAAUUCCUUUCAAAAAAAAACUUUUAUAUAUUUUAUUAUUAUUUGAUUUUACCGUUGGAUUAGAUUUUGUCGGUCAAAUGAAUUCAUUCUCAAAUAGUGUUGAAAUAAGACUUUCUCAUGUGAACCUUGCCUUUUAAAAUAAUCCAACACCUAUAAAAAUGUCCCAUUCUAAAGAGACUUUAGUUGUUUUGCAAUCCCUAGACUGGGUUAAGUUGUUGAUCGAUCAGAUCUAGAGCAUUAACUAAUUAAUUAACUGAUAAUUCAGGGAUCUCACUGUCUGAUUUCUUGAUUUAUAAGCAAAGAUCUCACUGUUGGGAGCGACAUCAUCUCUGCAUGGGAAGAGAUGACAACGACAAUGAUUCAUAGUCUGAAUCGAGCCCUCCAAGGAUAUAAACGACCACUUCCGAUGUCUCAGUUUUGACUUCGGCAGUUCGUAAAUUGUCAACUAGCCUUUUGAUUUUGGUUAGAUACUCAUCAAUUAGAGAGUCACCUUUCUUGAUUUGUUGCAAUUGCUGCCUGAUUUGCAAUAUCCGGAAUCCAGAAGGGCAUGCAUGCGUUUCUUGGAGUUGUUUCCAAACUUCGUCGGAAGUUUCAACGCCGGUGACUUACGCGAGGAUGUCUGACUGGAACGAUGAGAAGAUCCAUCCCAGUAAAAGCUGAUCUUGCUGGAUCUUCAGUGCAUCAUCGAGGAUGACUGAACCAUCUACAUAAGAUAAGAUGCCAUAUCCCUUCAAGAGCGUGCUGAACCACUUCCCCCAAGUGAAUAAAUUUGUUCGGGCGAUCUUCUCUACUUGCGGGUACUUGAUUUUCACAAGUUUGAAAGAGCUACCGACGUUUAUCAUGGCAAUUUGCAGAAGAAGUGCCCAGUCGUUACCUAGCAAUCGGAUACCAUAUUACAAUCAAUGAGCUUAACUGAAUUCAAUGUAUUUCACACUCCUCAAUCAAUACACGUUUCUAUAUAUCUAUUUAUAAUAAUAUUCAAUUAACUAACUAAUUAACUGAUUAAGCCAUUAACUAAUUAACUGAUAAUUCAGUUAUUGAUUUUUAAUACAGAGAACCUGGCUGCCGCCCAGGCCCCCAGAUCCAAGAGCUAGUUCUAGAAGUACAUGAAUCUUAGGGGAUCAUGCAUCAUCUGUUUCCUUAUGUUUUGCAGGAAUUGUUCUUUAACUCUGCCUUUGGCAAAUUGCCAUUGCCGGUCCCCAGCCCGGAUCAAAGGAGGAGGGAAGGAUUGUUUAAGAUAACCAUUAUUUGGAUCAUUUCUUCUCAUUUUCUAUUUUCAUUGUUGGGAUCACAAGUGAAAGCAAUCGAUUUUAACAAUUUACAAGAUAACCAUAAAAUUUUGAGGUAUUUGCUGAUCACACAAGUCUGAAAUAUAUAUUUAUAGUUAGGGUUAGUAGUCAACCAUGAAAAGGACCACAGAAUAUCUUUUAAAGAUGAUAUCAUUAAAAAAGAAUGUGGUUCACAAUUGGAAAAGACUACUAUGUAGAUUUGGAAGACAACCCUCCUGAGACCCAAUUCUUAACUGCAUAAGAGAUGGUCGAUAUAGUGGGAAACCACAAUAUCAAUCCCAUCAUUUUUUUUCCAUUUGUAUUUUAGGGCAUUGUCUUUCAUUAUCUUUAAUAAAAACUUUUAAUAUUUACAAAAAAAACCACACGAAACAAAGACGAUAUUGGAGUUUGUAAAAUAUCAAAACUUAGUGUAAGAUCACCAGACUUGAGUGAGAAUGGAAUGUGAUUUAUUCAUUGGUAUUGAUGAGUUUAUAUAGUAUUAAUUUACAAUUAACUCAUAACUAACUAUCUAAAUAUCUUUGUUUUGACCCUCAGGCCCGACGACUAUACUCGUCAAGAGAUGUUCGAUUUAUAGAAGAGGACUUCAUGUUAAAUAAAAGUUUAUGGAAUAAGGUAAAUGAAAAUUUUCCAGACCCGGUAGAAGUGACAUACAUAAGAGUUCAUUCAUAUCAUUCAUACUUAUCACCAACUCUAAAUCCACAGGACUUCCUCACAUUGAUUUAUUUGGAUCAACCCAAACUUAAAGUUUUGGAGGAAAAAGAUUCAUAUAUGCAAAAUAAAAAUAUUUUAUCGACACUAAAAUAUCCUUUUAUAUAAGGGAAAUCCAUAUUAAAUCAUUUUUCAACUAAUUUCUAUUUUAAGUUUGUUAAAAAAUAGGGGAAAUUCCUUUACAAUAUAUAAGGGAAUAUCCGUUAAAAAUAGUUAAAAAAUCCGUUACAAUAUAUAAGUCCUAGUAUUUGUAACGGAAAUAGCAAAGUUAAUGGAAAUUCCGUUACAAAUUCCGUUAACUUUGAUAAUAAGUAUUUGUAACGAAAAUUCCGUUAAGUUUGCUUCGUCCGAACUGCCUACUUUUUUUUGUAGUGACAAUAACCUUUAAAACUAUUGAAUUUUAUAUAAAAAAGUCAUUUCCCAUUAAAAAAGCUAUCUAUUUUAUGAACCUAUUGUUUGGUUUCCAUAUUUAAGAAUCCACCCCCUAUAUAUUUAUUCUCCUAGGCCGGAGUUUCAGAUAUCUGAAUUCACUAUCAUUUUACUUGUUCUCUGCAAACCUAAUGAUGUUUAAAGUUUGAUUUGUUAUUGGUAUUUGAUUUUUCCAUCACAUUUUUUAAAAUUUGUUGCAGGAUAUGCUCAUUUCUUGUGUUGAAGAUCUUACAUGUUCAAGAGGAGGAAAAUUUUGAGAUUUGUGCGUACCAUCUGAACUAAUUACAUCGUCGCAGAAGAAACUAGACGAUUGUAUUUUGAUCUCGAUUCAUUAUUUUGACGUAUAUGCAGGGUAGACAAUCUCGACCUUUGCCAUGUUGGGUGCGCUCGCAUGGCAGGUCACCUAAUAAAAAAGAAUCACUUUUUUGGGUUGGGAGAGGAGAUCGCAUGGGAAUGGGGAUGAUUUUACUCCCUUUUUGAUAUUCCCAGGGUCAUCCUCUCCAAGGUCCGACCUCUGCAAGGCCGGACUCUGUGUUCUCUUUUCUGUUUGUCUUCUUUCAUUAUCCAUUAUCCUCCCUCCCAUACAACUUCCCUCACCGACAUCAUCGAUUAAAGAUAAUAACUCGUUCGUGCCCUCUUAAUCGUUAAAAUCACCGAUCGGCGAAAUCAUUUAUAAUCAUAAAAACGAGGUAUAGAUUCAAUUUAAAUCAAUUACACUUCUACGACGAUUAAUCAAUUAUCGUAAAAUGAAUCAAAUGAUUUGGUUGUCGAUCAAAGUAAUUAACGUUCAUUUCGAAAGCCGGUUUAUGAUUUUAAUUUCGCUUCACAUAUCUUCAUUUUUGGAUGAUUCUGAUAAUAUGAUGGAUGAUAUUGCUCGCGAUCGGGAAACGAAACUCCGUGAUAAUAAAGAGGGCAUGUUGAAUAUAUCUGCUCGAUUAUCUCAAAACGUCAAUAAAGGAAAAUCAAUUGCUAAAAGUUAAUCGCGAUUUUAUAUCUUCUCUUUGUAAGUAUGUUUUAAUUAGUUAAAUUUAUCAUUUUUCUAUAUUUAAACAUGAAAUAAUAUAAUUUAUCAAUUUUAUACACAUGAUUGAUAAGAAAAGAUAGAAGAUUCGAUCAUGACCAAGGUAUUUAUAUUAAGGCAUUGAAAGAAGUUUCAUGAAAUGAAAAGAUCGAUGAAGAAAUGCAUACUUUCAGUUAAGCCUAUUUGAUCCAACUAAUGUUAUUAGGUCAAUGGAAACCUUAUUAUUUUAUCCAACUUUGAAGGUAUUUAUUAAGUUGAUAUAAAAUAACAUAAGUACGGUUGUGGAAUUGAAACACGAACACAUCAAGAGCAACUACUAGUGGAAGCUUGGGCUAGAAGGUUCCAACCGGCAUCAAAUUAAUAUUUAGUUUAAUAUUGUGUUGUAAUUUAAAUUCAGUAAGAACUUGUGUUAAAAGGGGAAUGUAAUACUUAGGCUAAUGGUGGGUUGGAAUUUAACUAAAAAUAGAAUUCUGACUCACAAAAGCAUAAAGAGUUGGAUUGAUGGAAUGACCUAACAAAUCAUAUCCAUCGGAACCCCUAUCUCAUAUGAGGUAGAGUUCCUUGUGUAAAUACAAACGAUAUGAGGAAUCACUUACAAAGUAGUGGACCAAAAGGUAAUGGCAGGGUUUUCCCUAAGAAAAGAAAAAGAAUAUGCCAGGAGCACACUAAUGUUUUUUCACCCAACCAUUGUCCAAGGCCCACUACGUAAGAACGAUGAGGCAUAGAUCGUUCUAGGAAACAUUGAGUCGGUCCCCAAAGGUUGUUGAAGGCCUAAACGAUCGUAAGAUCACUUGGCUGGAUCAAUGCGGAGGGUGUGAGGUAGAUCGCAUGUAAUCAUACCUCUUUUUUUCUCUUUAAGAUCUAUAUAUUACAAGAUGAU